rnacentral:tRNA from 1 species
GCUCGGGAAAUGGUGUAGUUUGUUGUGACGACUGCCUAGCACGCAUUAGGUCCCGAGUUCGACUCUCGGUUCCAGUA